UACGGAAGGUCCGGGCGUUAUCCGGAUUUAUUGGGUUUAAAGGGAGCGCAGGCGGGGGAUUAAGCGUGACGUGAAAUGUCCGGGCUCAACCCGGUCACUGCGUCGCGAACUGGUUCCCUUGAGUACGCGGGAAGCCGGCGGAAUUCGUGGUGUAGCGGUGAAAUGCUUAGAUAUCACGAGGAACUCCGAUUGCGCAGGCAGCUGGCUGCUGCGUUACUGACGCUCAUGCUCGAAGGCGCGGGUAUCGAAC
rnacentral:rRNA from 1 species